UACGAAGGGGGCUAGCGUUGUUCGGAAUUACUGGGCGUAAAGCGCACGUAGGCGGAUAUUUAAGUCAGGGGUGAAAUCCCGCAGCUCAACUGCGGAACUGCCUUUGAUACUGGGUAUCUUGAGUAUGGAAGAGGUUAGUGGAAUUGCGAGUGUAGAGGUGAAAUUCGUAGAUAUUCGGAGGAACACCAGUGGCGAAGGCGGCUCACUGGUCCGGUACUGACGCUGAGGUGCGAAAGCGUGGGGAGCAAACAGG
rnacentral:rRNA from 1 species